UACGUAGGAAGCGAGCGUUGUCCGGAAUCACUGGGCGUAAAGCGCGUGUAGGCGGUACGGCAAGUCUGCUGUGAAAGCGCCCGGCUUAACCGGGCGAGGUCGGCGGAAACUGCUGAACUGGAGGACGGUAGAGGGGGGUGGAAUUCCCGGUGUAGUGGUGAAAUGCGCAGAUAUCGGGAAGAACACCCGUGGCGAAGGCGGCUCUCUGGAACGCAACUGACGCUGAGACGCGAAAGCGUGGGGAGCGAACAGG
rnacentral:rRNA from 1 species